GUACACAAUAUGACCCUCUCUCAUAAAGUACACUCAAAUACAGGUACACAAUAUAACCCUCUCUCAUAAAGUACACUCAAAUACAGGUACACAAUAUGACCCUCCCUCAUAAAGUACACUCAAAUACAGGUACACAAUAUGACCCUCUCAUAAAGUACACUCAAAUACAGGUACACAAUAUAACCCUCUCUCAUAAAGUACACUCAAAUACAGGUACACAAUAUGACCCUUCCUCAUAAAGUACACUCAAAUACAGGUACACAAUAUAACCCUCUCUCAUAAAGUACACUCAAAUACAGGUACACAAUAUGACCCUUCCUCAUAAAGUACACUCAAAUAC
ensembl:lncRNA